rnacentral:rRNA from 1 species
CCUGACGCAGCAACGCCGCGUGAGUGAAGAAGGCCUUCGGGUCGUAAAGCUCUGUCAAGUGGGAAGAACCCUUUUCAUGUUAACAGCAUGUGAAGCUGACGGUACCACUGGAGGAAGCACCGGCUAACUCCGUGCCAGCAGCCGCGGUAAUACGGAGGGUGCAAGCGUUAUUCGGAAUUACUGGGCGUAAAGGGCGCGCAGGCGGCCUGUUAAGUCAGUUGUGAAAGCCCGGGGCUCAACCCCGGAAGUGCGACUGAAACUGGCAGGCUUGAGUAUGGGAGAGGGAAGUGGAAUUCCUGGUGUAGCGGUGAAAUGCGUAGAUAUCAGGAGGAACACCGGUGGCGAAGGCGACUUCCUGGACCAAUACUGACGCUGAGGCGCGAAGGCGUGGGUAGCAAACAGGAUUAGAUACCCUGGUAGUCCACGCAGUAAACGGUGAUCACUAGGUGUUGCGGGCUUUGAUGUCUGCAGUGCCGAAGCAAACGCAUUAAGUGAUCCGCCUGGGGAGUACGGCCGCAAGGUUAAAACUCAAAGGAAUUGACGG